rnacentral:rRNA from 1 species
CCUACGGGAGGCAGCAGUGGGGGAUAUUGCACAAUGGGGGAAACCCUGAUGCAGCGACGCCGCGUGUGGGAAGACGGUCCUCUGGAUUGUAAACCACUGUCCCCAGGGACGAAGAUGACGGUACCUUGGGAGGAAGCUCCGGCUAACUACGUGCCAGCAGCCGCGGUAAGACGUAGGGAGCAAGCGUUGUCCGGAAUUACUGGGUGUAAAGGGAGCGUAGGCGGGAUGGAAAGGUGGGUGUAAAAUGUACCGGCUCAACUGGUAGUCGCACUCGAAACUGCUAUUCUUGAGUGAAGUAGAGGCAGGCGGAAUUCCUGGUGUAGCGGUGAAAUGCGUAGAUAUUAGGAGGAACACCAGUGGCGAAGGCGGCCUGCUGGGCUUUUACUGACGCUGAGGCUCGAAAGUGUGGGGAGCAAACAGGAUUAGAUACCCUGGUAGUC